rnacentral:lncRNA from 1 species
GUUUAAUUUUACAUUUUAUUAAUAAUAAUAAUCACAUGAUGGACCAACCCAUCUUACAAGAAAACAACACCUAACACUAUUCCCAUACCCGGCCCAACCCAAAAUAAAAAAUAACAUUUAGAAAGAGUGCGUUUUGAGCUUCACUCUCCAAAUUAGGGAAAGUAAAACUAUGAGCAGAUUAAACAACCCUUAUACUAUCAGUUCUUGGCUGAAGAUGCUCAUAUAUCUUAUUUGAUUUGGUUUGUGUUUAUCGAUUAUUAUCUUUACUCUUUUGUUUUCGAGUUUUGAUGGAUAUUCAACUUACAUUGUGCAGUCAGAGGCUACAUUCGACCUGAAUAUUGAACUACUGAAAAUCAAGUCACCAGAAGGGAAGAAAUAGAUGCCCGCAUUGUACCUUAUGUUUUUGCCUUUAAUUGGUUUAGAACAUAGACGUUGUGCUGCAGCCAAGCAAAUUGCAAGACUGCAGCGACAGAAGUCAAGUUGAAUUGAAAGAGCAUUUUUUGUGUAAAUUGGGGAGACAAAACUUUGUAGGUUAAGACGGGUUGUAAGUUGCGAGUUAAGAAAUAUUUCAGUACUCUAGUUGUCAACAAACUGUAAAGUUGUUUCUGAACAAUGUAUGUGUAUAUUAGCUUUUCCUGUAGAAACACAGAUAGAUAUAGUCUUUUAAGUGCAGAUGUAAUGACAUGUUGUGUUAAUAACUGUUGACAUGUAUAGAAGC